UAUACCCCUCCCCCUCCCGUUCUUUACCCUUGUUUACAUAUGUUUUCUUUCCCUCUACUCUGUUUUUACUUCAUUUUAGAGUUAGGUUAGUUUACCCUGCCUCAGUACACCCCUCCCCCUCCCUUUCUUUACCCUUGUUUACAUAUGUUUUCUUUCCCUCUACUCUGUUUUUACUUCAUUUUAGAGUUAGGUUAGUUUACCCUCUUAACCAGGGCUUUCCUGAGUCGUGGCUGUGGUAUGGUGGACCCUAAAACGGGCUCACCAUAAGACACCUAAUUCGAGCUAAUUGUAGGCGGUGGCGGCAUUGCGCAACCCACCAUGUAUGCCCCGGGUCAUUGUGGUGGGUGAGUGAUCUUGCAGUGUGCUUAUUUGUCAUGGGUGGUGCUGUAAGGUCAUGGCAGACUGAAUUAGCUACCCACACAGUAAUCACUUGUCAAAUUCUCUAAAGUAGACAACAAGCGACUCUCAGGUAGAUGCCACGCGUCACGAGACUGUUUAAUUUUUAAGAAACACCACCCAAAAAUAAUGAAGUUUGAGUAAAAGUAGAUAUUUUUAAUGGCUUUAUGGGUAUCGGAGGAGUGCUCUGAUGUACGCUCCAUGCUCUUUUCUUAGUCUCAAAAUGCAGCGUAAUUUUGUCGUUUCUCGGCCACUUCUCGUCUUUCCCGUAGCCCAAGCACACGGGUUAAUAUCCCAUCUGUUGUUUUCCUUCUAUGCUAUCCCGCCCUUUCUCCUUCUUUCCUUAUUUUCCUUCUUUUUUUUUCUUUUUCCUGUAUUUUAGUAUCAUCAACCUCCCCUAUUCCUUUUUUUUUUCCCCCUUGGACAUUUUUCUCUUAACCCAGUAGCAGUGACGGGACAAAUUUGUGGCUUCACCGUGUAGCAGCGAUGGGACAAAUUUGUGGCUUUACCGUGUAGCAGCGAUGGGACAAAUUUGUGGCUUUACCGUGUAGCAGUGAUGGGACAAAUUUGUGGCUUUACCGUGUAGCAGCGAUGGGCCAGAUUUGUUUCUUUACCCUUCUUCUUCCUCCUCCUCCUCCUCCUCUUCUUCCUCUUCCUCCUUCUUCCUCCCUUCCGUUCCCCACACAAGUUAUCAUUUUCCGACCAAGUGAAGAAAAGAAAACAGAAAGAAAACGAAGAAAACAGGAAAAAGAAAAUGGAAUGUGACUUUAACGGAAUGAACUUACGAGACUUUGAGGAUAUAUAUUAAGUGAAUGCUGUAUGUGUUGACCUCCCCUCCUCUAUCCCCCCCCCUCCUCCCCUUCACUACCUCCCACCCCAUACCCUUUCCUACCCCCACCCACCCCCCUCGCCACCCCCAAAUUUCCUUGCAGUAAAAGCAUUGACGAAAGUAAUAUAUGAAUGAUAUACGUUAACCUAUCUGUUCUCCCUCCCCCUCCCCUCCCUUUUUCCCUCCAUUUCCUCCGCCCUGACCCGCUCUGACCCGCACCCCCCCAAAAAAAAAACUGACCUCCGAGCAUGUGUUUUUUUUCUGCGAUGGACUGAAACAAACAAACAAACAGAUGUGUGGGACCAUAUCUAUGUUUUUUUCAACUUUUUUUUUUUCUACGAUCCUCCUCCUCCUCCUCCUCCUCCCUUAUUCAUUGCCUGAGCUUGGUUAAUGAUAGUAAUAAUAAUAAUAAUAAUAAUAGCUUUUGUGACCUCUCCUUCAUCAUCAUCAUCAUCAUCAUCAUUAUAUAUAUUCGAGAUUUAUCACAGUCAUUUCUCUCACAAGCCCUCGGAUCAUUGUCAUUGUAAGUUGUUGUUUUCUUUCUUGUUUUUUUCCGAGGACUUGUGGGUUAGUAUUACGAAGAGUGUUAGGGUCUUCUUCCUCUUCUUCCUCUUCCUCCUCCUCCUCCUCCUCCUCCUCCUCUUCUUUCUAUUCAUUUCUUUUUAUUUUUCUUACUCCUAAUUUUUCUUUCUUCUUCUUCUUCUUCUUCCUCCUCCUCCUCCUGUCAUUCUCAUUUUUCUCUAUCCUUAUUUCUUCUUCUUCUUCUUCUUCUCCUCCUCCUCCUCCUCCUCCUCCUCCUCCUGUCAUUCUCAUUUUUCUCUAUCCUUAUUUCUUCUUCUUCUUCUUCUUCUUCUUCUUCUUCUUCUUCCUCCUUUUCUUCAUUUUCUUUUCCUUUCCUUCUCCUCCUUCCUAACCUUCCCUUCCCUCCUCCUCCUCCUCCUCCUCCUCCUCCUCUUCAAGAUCUUCCAAUACUUCCAAACAGUAUUACAAAGUGCCAUUAUACCCCUCCUCCUCCUCCUCCUCCCCCUCCUCCUCCUCCUCCUCCUCCUCGUGCCUUCCUCGUAAACACAUAUCAUCUCUCUCGAGGCCAAAAGAAGCAGUAUUUGUAUUUUUGGAAAGGGUCAUUGUAUCAUCACCAUCACCACCACCACCAUCACCACCACAACCACAACCACCACCACCGAGGCCGCCAGAACCCAAUGGAGGACAAUGAUGUCAAGUGGAAGAGUGGACAACCCUCGCCCCUUCCGUCUUUUCCCUUUUCCCUUCCUUUCCAUUCCCUUCCCUUCCCUUCCCUUCCCUUCCCUUCCCUUCCCUUCCCUUCCUUUCCCUUUCCUUCCCUUCCCUUCCCUUCCCUUCCUUUCCCUUUCCUUCCCUUCCCUUCCCUUUCCUUCCCUUCCCUGCCAUUUUCUUGUUUUGCUCACCCCUCCUCCUCCUCCUCCUCCUCCUCCUCCUCCUCCUCCUCCUCCUCCUCCUCCUCCUCCUCCUCCUCCUCCUCCUCCUCCUCCCACACACUCCACCACCACCAUCACCACACCAGUCCUCAAUCCCGAGUACUGUGUGAGUAUACAAGCACAUCUAUUUUUCCAUAUAUAGCUAGAUGUCUCGUCCCCUUCACCCCUUCAUCACCCUCAUCCCAUCGUCCCUUCUUCUUCCUUUCAUCGUUUUUCUCUAUUCCGCAUCUAGAUCUAUCGUUUCCCUCCCUCCUCGCAGUUUCCGUUCGUCCCAUUUCCCUCCGCAAGAGUUCCCAGUUUCCGAUCUCUCACAUUUUUCUCCUGGUUUUGUUUUUCUCACCAUCUCGCUCUCAUGGCAUUUCCUAACCGACUCCAUGUGUGUGUGGGUUUGUACGUUAGUGUGUGCGUGUGUGUGUGUGUACAGGCUAAGCAGGGACUGACUAGGCUACAGGGCUGCUAGUGUUAAGCCCCCGCAGCCCCCACUCGUCAGACCCCCCUGCGUAGCUGACACACACACCCCCAUAACAAUAUAUCGGAGAUGUACACUAAAAAGAUUGACCCUAGAUGUUUUUUCUUGGAUAUUUUAUUAGUCGCUGUUAAAUCGCGUUUGAAAGAAAAACAAAGACAGACCCAACCCGUAACACAACCCAUAACACAAAACAAGGCAGCCUGGCGCGAUGGUAUGUCUGUCUCUCCGUCAAUCCGCUUGUCUGUGUGUCUGUGUGUUGCGUCUGCCCAGUGUUGCAGAGUGCGAGGUGUGUGUUGCCGUGAGUGUUCCGGACGUAAAUAACCAAACCUAUGCAACACCCUGUCCCUCCCUACCUCCCUGCCCUGGUGUGUUGCGUUUCCAUUGGUGUUGAAGGCUCGUUACCUACCUGAGUCACCUGUGUACCUCUUGGGGUCAUAUAGAUAGGUUAGGAUUCUGUUUAGACCCUCGGAACUUAUUUUGAUUCUUCCUAUAGGGCAUCAGAACCUAUUAGAAUCAGACAUACACAUUCAAGACUUAUUAGAAAUCUUUAUAUAUUCAUUCAGAACCCAUUAGAAUUCUAUACAUAUACAUUCAGAACCCAUUAAAAUUCUAUACAUAUACAUUCAGAACUCAUUGGAAUUCUACAUACAAGGCCUCAGAACCUAUUAGAAUCAGACAUACACAUUCAGAACCCAUUAAAAUUCUAUACAUAUACAUUCAGAACCCAUUAAAAUUCUAUACAUAUACAUUCAGAACCCAUUAAAAUUCUAUACAUAUACAUUCAGAACCCAUUAAAAUUCUAUACAUAUACAUUCAGAACCCAUUAAAAUUCUAUACAUACACAUUCAAAACCCAUUAAAAUUCUAUACAUACACAUUCAAAACCCAUUAAAAUUCUAUACAUACACAUUCAAAACCCAUUAAAAUUCUAUACAUAUACAUUCAGAACCCAUUAAAAUUCUAUACAUAUACAUUCAGAACCCAUUAAAAUUCUAUACAUAUAAAUUCAGAACCCAUUAAAAUUCUAUACAUACACAUUCAGAACCCAUUAAAAUUCUAUACAUAUAAAUUCAGAACCCAUUAAAAUUCUAUACAUAUACAUUCAGAACCCAUUAAAAUUCUAUACAUACACAUUCAGAACCCAUUAAAAU